rnacentral:rRNA from 1 species
CAGUCGCCGCGGUAAUACGAAGGGUGCAAGCGUUAAUCGGAAUUACUGGGCGUAAAGCGUGCGUAGGCGGUUUGUUAAGUCUGUUGUGAAAUCCCCGGGCUCAACCUGGGAAUGGCAAUGGAUACUGGCAAGCUAGAGUGUGUCAGAGGAUGGUGGAAUUCCCGGUGUAGCGGUGAAAUGCGUAGAGAUCGGGAGGAACAUCAGUGGCGAAGGCGGCCAUCUGGGACAACACUGACGCUGAGGCACGAAAGCGUGGGGAGCAAACAGGAUUAGAUACCCGUGUAGUCCCUGUCUCUUAUAC